AUUACCCCCACUCAUGAGAGGGUGGGGACAGAAUGAUUCAAAAAAGUUUUAAGACAAAGAAGUUAAAACCACUUCUCAAAUUUGACCAAAAAAGGAGCAUUUUUUUUUCUUUCAGAAAUUGGUACUUUUUCCACCAUAAAAUUAAGAGAUAUUGCAAAAAUACAAUCUUCACAUGAUGUUCUUUUAAGCAGGAUUGAACCCAGAGGUACUCUGCCACAGAGCCACAUCCCCACCCUUUUUUAUUUUUAUUCUUUUAUUUUUUAAAAUUUUGAGAUAGCCUCCCUAAAUUGCAGAGACUUACCUCUAACUUCCCAAUCUCUCCUUCCUCCACCUCCCAAGUUUCUGAAAUUACAAGGACUGGUGACACUAGGCCUGGCCCAGUAUAGUAAUGCAUUCUUUAAAAAAAAAUUUUUUUUUGUAGUUGUAGAUGGAGAGAAUGCCUUUAUUUGUUUAUUUUUAUGUGGUGCUAAGGAUCGAACCCAGUGCCUCACACAUGCUAGAUAUUUGCCCUGGAGUCAUGCCCUCCCACCUAACUGGGACCCUGAGCUGCACACUCAUACCUCUGGAUGCAGAUCAAGUAGAAGGGACUUGUGACCAGAGUUGGAGCUAAGCCAAAGUUGAGGUUUAUGCUCAGGUUUAAGGAUUUUUCUGUCCUUCAAACACUACAGGUAAAGACAGGAAGAGGUUCUUGGAAGGCAGAGUACAACAUAUAUAAGUGCAACCAUUGGGCUCAAUGGGUGGGUCAGUGGUAGAGCACCUAACCAGCAUGCAUGAGGCCCUGGGUUUGAUCCUCAGCACUGAAAAGAGAAAAAUCUUGAGCAGUUUAUUUUCCUACUCUCUUACUUAGUUCCCUGCCAGAGUCACUUACAUGUGGAAGGAAAUGGCACAGUGACUUGACUGAAUAUGGACAUCACUUCAGAUGACACAGCUUGUAGCAGUACAUCUAGCUUGUCCUUUCAGAGGGAGCCCUAGGUAUUAAGGUACUGAGGGAAAGUGCAUGAGAAUUUUUUGUUGGCACUUAGGCCCCUUUUCCAGCCAUUUCUUGUCAUUUAGCCUAUGCCACAAAUAUGUCCUGAGUUGUACCCUCAGUACCUUCUUUCAUUUAGGGAUCCUUGGGGAAGGAUCAGAAUCUAGAAGACUCAGUAAGUAAAUGCUGCAAGGGUAAGGGAAAUCCUCUGGCAGUUUAGGGCUGAAGAAUCACAAUGGAGACUUGGGAACAAGUGGGAGUGGCAAAGGGUGGGAGGCAAGAAUUUGCAUUAGAAGAAAACUACACACCUGGGCUGGCGGUGUGGCUCAGUGGUAGAGUGCUUGCCUAGCACAUGUAAGGCACCAGGUUCAAUUACCAGCACUGCAUAUAAAUAAAAACAAAGGUUCAUCAACAUCUUAAAAAUAUUUAAAGAAAACUACACACUUGAUGUUGAGAGCUUAGCUGAGGUUUAAAAGGACAAAGGCAAUUAAAGAUACAGGGGAAAGGGCUGGUGUUUUAGCUCAGUGGUACAGCACUUGCCUGGCACAUGUGAGGCAUUGGGUUUGAUCCUUGGCAUCACAUAAAAGUAAAUGAAGGUAUUGUGUCCAUCUACAACUAAAAAUACUUUUUAAAAAAAGAUAAAGCGGAGCAAUACCAAUUAGUGGCAUGGUUCUCUGAGAGCAGUGUCAAAGUUAAUAGCUUUGAUAUAAUUCAGUGGUAGAGCACUUGCCUACCAUGCAUAAUGUCUUGGGUUUCAUCCCCAGCACCAAAAAUAAAUAAACAAACCGCUUAAAAAAAUGCAGAGGACAAUAAGUGAGGCUUGGCUUUGUGAUAGUAGUCUUGUGCUGCAUAAUGACAUUUUGGUCAAUGACAGACUAUACAUGAGUGGUCCCAUGAGAUUGUAUCACCUAGGGACAUCUUAGUCAUCUGUAUAAGUAUGGUGUUCAUACAACAACGAAAUUGUCUUACAAUGCAUUUCUCAGAAAUGUCCCUAAAUUAAGCAUUAUAGGACUGGUGUUAUGCUCGAAUUUGGGACCCCCAAAAGACCACCAGAGACCAAGAUUGAUGUAAGCAGCAAAGAGGUGUUUAUUGCAAGCUACUUGGUCCUCUGCGCACACACAGCAACUGGUGACGCUGAGAGGCCCCAAGCCCAGGGUUUGCAGCAGCUUUAUACAUUCUUUGGGGAAGGCAGGGACCCCACAUACAUCAUAGCAUCUCAUAGCAAAUCAUCACAGACUGCGGGAAAAUCAAACAACAAUUCUAAAACAUGAUUAGCACAUUCACUGUUGGGAACAAGUUGGGUAGGGGUGAUUGGCUAGGAUUCUCACCCUACUGAGUUGUUUGUCUGUAAAUAACUGGACAGAUCUGCAGUGCCAGGUGUCCCUGACUCAGUUACCCUAGGUAAGGACCCAUAGCAACACCCUAGCAACCACCAAUCAGAGUGAGACAGGGAAAAUACCUGAUGUUGGGAAAACAUAUAACGGCAGCAGCACCCCAAAGAAAAACCCCAACAUGGCGCCUAACGACCCUCUUUCUCCUCUUUUUUUCUUUCACUGGUGCACCAAUGUGGGUGGGAAACCUUAACCCCAAUAAGAAUUAACUUCUUGGGCUCCGGAACUGACAUAUGGAAGAGCUUGCCAAUAAACGGGCAACCCGUUAUCUACCUCAGGCCUGCUACCUCUCCUUAGGUCUAUAUAAACCCCACAGUCUUU
rnacentral:lncRNA from 1 species